CCGGCCUCAGCCACCGCCUCGGGGCCGGCUGCAGGCGGGGGACAGCGCCGGGAAGCCCCCGCGGGCGGCACCACGGGCACAGGUGCAGGGCGGCGGGCACCCAACGGCCGCGCCCCACCCGGUCCCCGGGCACGGCGCAGGGGGCGUCCGCAGCCCCCCGGCCCUCACCUGCUCUCCGCAGCCCGACGAGCGCUUCUCCCUCGGACCAGCCGGCGGGGCGCGGAGGGAAGGAGGAGGCGGCGGCGAAGCGAGCUGGGAGGCGGCUGAAGAGCGGCGCCUUCCCCCCCGCCGCCGGCGACCACCCGGCUGCGAUCGCGGGAGCGGCCGCGGCAAGCGGCUCGGGCGCCUUUGUUACGCCUCCCCCGGCUGCAGAGCGCUGCUGGGGAGGGAGCCCGGGCUGCAGCUGCUUCGCCUUUCUUCGGCUGCUGCCGCUGGCGGUGAUUUGCAUUAGCCCGGCCCUCAUUGACAUGCGGCUCUCCGCAGCAGCCUCUCCCCGCCGCUCUCUCCAGAGGGCGGCGCCGCCGUCUCCCCCUCUCCCCCCGUCUCCCCUCGCCGGGCGCUGCGGGGCGACUGCCUCAGCACUGCCCGCGGCUGCCCUCAGGCCCUGUCUGCCCGCCCGCCGCCUCCCUCACCCGUCCGGCCGCUGGCGAGGCCCUGGCCCGGAGUCCGAGGACGCCUGUUCUCAAAAGCCGAGCACCACCACAUUGACUGUUUCACCAGGGUCCUCUGUGGUGCAUGUUUAUAAACCACAAGACAGUCACUUCUUAACCUUCCUUUGGAUAAAGUUAGCAAAGUUCAACUUCACAUCUCUAGCGUUGCUAAUCAGAUUAUACAUUGGGACUGAAUUCAGCAUGCAACAGAUGUAA
rnacentral:lncRNA from 1 species